AUGAACGCUGGCGGCGUGCCUAAUACCUGCAAGUCGAGCGAACAGACGAGGAGCUUGCUCCUCUGACGUUAGCGGCGGACGGGUGAGUAACACGUGGAUAACCUACCUAUAAGACUGGGAUAACUUCGGGAAACCGGAGCUAAUACCGGAUAAUAUAUUGAACCGCAUGGUUCAAUAGUGAAAGACGGUUUUGCUGUCACUUAUAGAUGGAUCCGCGCCGCAUUAGCUAGUUGGUAAGGUAACGGCUUACCAGGGCAACGAUGCGUAGCCGACCUGAGAGGGUGAUCGGCCACACUGGAACUGAGACACGGUCCAGACUCCUAAGGGAGGCAGCAGUAGGGAAUCUUCCGCAAUGGGCGAAAGCCUGACGGAGCAACGCCGCGUGAGUGAUGAAGGUCUUCGGAUCGUAAAACUCUGUUAUUAGGGAAGAACAAAUGUGUAAGUAACUAUGCACGUCUUGACGGUACCUAAUCAGAAAGCCACGGCUAACUACGUG
rnacentral:rRNA from 1 species